rnacentral:tRNA from 2 species
GGGGAAUUAGCUCAGCUGGGAGAGCACCUGCCUUGCAAGCAGGAGGUCAGCGGUUCGAUUCCGCUAUUCUCCA